rnacentral:rRNA from 1 species
GACGGAGGAUGCAAGCGUUAUCCGGAAUUAUUGGGCGUAAAGCGUCCGCAGGUGGCUGUUCAAGUCUGCUGUCAAAGACCGGGGCUUAACUUCGGAAAGGCAGUGGAAACUGAACAGCUAGAGUAUGGUAGGGGCAGAGGGAAUUCCUGGUGUAGCGGUGAAAUGCGUAGAUAUCAGGAAGAACAUCGGUGGCGAAGGCGCUCUGCUGGACCAUAACUGACACUCAGGGACGAAAGCUAGGGGAGCGAAUGGG